UAGGGAAUCUUCGGCAAUGGACGAAAGUCUGACCGAGCAACGCCGCGUGAGUGAAGAAGGUCUUCGGAUCGUAAAACUCUGUUGUUAGAGAAGAACAAGGACGUUAGUAACUGAACGUCCCCUGACGGUAUCUAACCAGAAAGCCACGGCUAACUACGUGCCAGCAGCCGCGGUAAUACGUAGGUGGCAAGCGUUGUCCGGAUUUAUUGGGCGUAAAGCGAGCGCAGGCGGUUUCUUAAGUCUGAUGUGAAAGCCCCCGGCUCAACCGGGGAGGGUCAUUGGAAACUGGAAGACUUGAGUGCAGAAGAGGAGAGUGGAAUUCCAGGUGUAGCGGUGAAAUGCGUAGAUAUAUGGAGGAACACCGGUGGCGAAGGCGGCUCUCUGGUCUGUAACUGACGCUGAGGCUCGAAAGCGUGGGGAGCAAACAGG
rnacentral:rRNA from 1 species